UAGAGAGGAAAGUGGCGGACGGGUGAGUAAAAUGUAGAGAAUCUGCCCUUGAGCGGGGGACAACAGUUGGAAACGGCUGCUAAUACCCCAUAUGAGCGUAUCUGAGAUGGUAUUCUUGAAAACUCCGGUGCUCAAGGAUGAGUCUGCAUCUGAUUAGCUAGUUGGCGGGGUAAUGGCCCACCAAGGCGACGAUCAGUAGCUGGUUUGAGAGGAUGAUCAGCCACAAUGGGACUGAGACACGGCCCAUACUCC
rnacentral:rRNA from 1 species